GAGUUCUGAAAUGAAUCCUGUUUGACAGUCAGGCAAUCAUUUGUCUGUCUCUUGUGUCUGUCUGCUGUCAGAUGUCAUGAAAACAUUGAGAGAGGCUUUGGUUGUUCAUUCUUUCAGCAAUUUUCUCUAUUAUAAUGAGCAGAGCGUUACAUGACCGUACCUCCGACUGUAAGUCCUUGAGACCGAUGUGGUCACAGACGAGUGACAGCUCCUCGCGGUUUAGUGAUCCUCCGGCUCCGACCCCCAGCUCCUGCCAUACUGCCCUCACCUGUCCGUCUGUCACUUCCUGCUGAGGGUCAGAUGAACGCUGAGGACUUCCUGUGUCAUCUUGAUUCCAGAGCUUCAACUGGCCUUGAAUAUAUGUAAAUCAGAAACAAUUAUAGCUGUGUGCUGAUUUUACAUAGAAAACAUGCUUGAUUAAAGGGCUAGUUCACAGAAAAAUGAAAAUUGUCAUUAAGUACAAUGAACAAAGGUCUUACGGGUUUGGAACGACAUGAGGGUGAGUAAUUAAUGACAAAGUUUUCAUUUUUGGAUGAGCUACUUCUUUAAUUUAAAAGUUACGUGACAACAUAGUAAUAUCUAACAUACCUUGUGCCACAAAGUAGUGGUGUGUGGACUCCUUGUUGCUUCCUGUGUCCUCAUCUGAUUUGAGACUCUGUAAACAGUGCAGUGACAGUGCUUUACUACUGACUGAAUAUACUGCCCACUAUUGUUUUAAAGAACUUAAAAAGCUUCAAAUA